rnacentral:misc_RNA from 1 species
AUGCAUAAAAAAAUAUAUAUAUAUUUCCAGAAUAAUAAACAUAUUAACACUCAAGCAUUUUAUAUAUUGUAUGUUAAAAAUUGUUAAACAAUCAAAAUACACACCUGAAUAUUAAUUUUUUUCAAACUUCUUCUUUUUCUCUUUGUGGUCUGCCACUGCACCUAUCUCCUUCUUGCUCCACCCGGCUGUAAGGAUGCUCCACACCGAACAGAAAGCUCCUCCACCAAAAUGAGACAAUGGAGGAAUGAACGAGCGUUUUGGAAAAAUUUUGGUCACUACUGUUUUGAGACUGAGGACGUAAAUAAGAGCGCUGGGUGAAAUAAAGGAAGCGGGAGAAACUCUGGACGCGAAUAAAAAUAGAAUCCCGCUAGUCUGCACUCCCCCAACGGCACUGGAGAUGGGACUGGAGAUUCAGGGUGGAAAUGUACACAAGACGUUAUUUAUAUUAGCGUCCUGAUCUCUGACAACUGAUGGGAUGGGAGUAACUGCACACAGGACACUAGUUUUAUUAGCGUCCCCCGCCCUGCAUUUCGAUGGGACAAAAUAUUCCAUCUGACAACCAUUGCACGCCAUUGAUAAUGGUAUCCCGAGUCCAUUGCACGCCAUUGAUAAUGGCGUCCCGAGUCGAUUCUCUAGAAUCUCUACAGUGAAGGUAUGGAUGGUGGCAGGGAAGGCAUCAGGGCGCCAAUAUGAACAGCGUCCGGAAUUGGGACGCUAUUUUGAAUAGCAUCUUAAGCGCUGACCGAUCCACCUCAGCUCUCCUCACCCCUUAUUCGUAAUUAAUCCACAUCUUAACCCAUUUCAAUAUUUUUUUUUCUGUCACAUUACCCUUGUAUGGUCAUUCUCCCUUGCUCGCUAGUGUCCUACCCCAAAGCCAACCAACACUGCCUACCAUAAUCCUCACUCAUGCAAAUACCUCGCCACCUAUGACACCUCUCUCUCAACCUAAUCUAUCUACACCUAUCAUGAACCAAUCGUUACCACCUCAGAAUCCCAUUCCUAUCUCUAUCAUUACCCGAAGUCCAACUUCAUCUCAAUUACCCAAUAAAACAAACUUUGGACUUUCUCUUGUUAUGGAAUUAUCUACCUCUUCAACCUCUUCGCCCACCGCAUCCACUCCUUCAUCUAAUCCUAUUCAACAACCACCUACCAAUACACAUCCGAUGGUAAUAAGAAGCAAGACUGAAAGUCUCAAACCCAAAAUGUUCUCGACCACGACCUCACUUCCCUUAGUCCCAACCUAUUAUUCCAAGGCUACUCCAAAUGUCGAAUGGAGACAAGCAAUGAGUUCAGAGAUUAAUGCAUUGUUGUAGACCAAUGCUUGGACUCUGGUACCACAAGAUGAAGCUCAAAAUGUUGUGGGCUAUCGAUGGGUCUACUGCAUUAAGUAAAAAUUGGAUGGCUCUAUCGCCUGCUACAAGGCUCGUUUGGUUGUAAAAGUGUUCUAUCAAUGUCCAGGAGUGGACUACCAUGAAACCUUCUCACCUAGUUAAAGCCUAGCACUCUAUGCAUUGCCCUUUCCAUUGUUGUCACUCAUCAUUGGAUAAUAAGGCAGAUUGAUGUUUCAAAUGCAUUUCUGCAUGGGUACCUCGAUGAUGUGCUGUACAUGGAACAACCACAGGGGUUUGUAGAUCCAGAAAAACCCACUCAUGUUUGUAAGCUAAAUAGGUCCUUGUAUGGCCUCAAACAAGCCCCUCGACAGUGGUUCACUAAGCUCAAAAAAGCUCUUCUCUAGCUACAGUUACUCAAUCUCAUGCUGACACCAUAUUAUUUUAUCGUAAGCAUGGCACGUCUCAUGUUAUUUGUCUCAUCUAUGUAGACGAUAUUAUUAUUACAGGCAAUAAGUCCUUUACUGUCCAAUAAGUCAUUGUUGCUCUUCAACGACAAUUUAUGGUUAAGGAUCUUGGCGUGCUUGACUACUUUCUUAGAGUUGAAGUCCACCAUCUACCUUCCAGACUGCUUUUAACUCAAAGUAAAUAUACAAGUGACUUUCUGACAAAAGCAAACAUGUCACAAUGCAGUGGCACUGCAACACCAAUUUGUCCCAAGACCAAACUUACUCUCAACGACAGUGAGCUAGCUUCAUAACCCAACUUGUAUCGUUGCAUAAUUGGUGUUCUUCAAUAUCUUUCAUUGACUCAUCCAGAUGUCUCAUAUGCUGUGCAUCGCAUUUCUCAAUUUACAUGCGCCUACAAUGCAACAUUGGUAGCUAUCAAACGGAUAUUAUGACAUCUAAAAUCUACUCAAUCAUUUGGUACAAU